AUUGAACGCUGGCGGCAGGCCUAACACAUGCAAGUCGAACGGUAACAGGAAGCAGCUUGCUGCUUUGCUGACGAGUGGCGGACGGGUGAGUAAUGUCUGGGAAACUGCCUGAUGGAGGGGGAUAACUACUGGAAACGGUAGCUAAUACCGCAUAACGUCGCAAGACCAAAGAGGGGGACCUUCUGGCCUCUUGCCAUCGGAUGUGCCCAGAUGGGAUUAGCUAGUAGGUGGGGUAACGGCUCACCUAGGUGACGAUCCCUAGCUGGUCUGAGAGGAUGACCAGCCACACUGGAACUGAGACACGGUCCAGACUCCUACGGGAGGCAGCAGUGGGGAAUAUUGGACAGUGGGGGCAAGCCUGAUGCAGCCAUGCCGCGUGUAUGAAGAAGGCCUUCGGGUUGUAAAGUACUUUCAGCGGGGAGGAAGGGAGUAAAGUUAAUACCUUGGCUCAUUGACGUUACCCGCAGAAGAAGCACCGGCUAACUCCGUG
rnacentral:rRNA from 1 species